rnacentral:tRNA from 1 species
GCCGAAGUGGCGGAAUGGUAGACGCGCAUGGUUUAGGACCAUGUGUUCGCAGGAACGUGGGGGUUCGAGUCCUCUCUUCGGCA